rnacentral:rRNA from 1 species
UACGUAGGGUGCGAGCGUUGUCCGGAAUUACUGGGCGUAAAGGGCUCGUAGGCGGCCAACUAAGUCAUACGUGAAAUCCCUCAGCUUAACUGGGGAACUGCGUCUGAUACUGGCGAGCUUGAGUGCAGGAGAGGAACGCAGAAUUCCAGGUGUAGCGGUGAAAUGCGUAGAUAUCGGGAGGAACACCGGUGGCGAAGGCGGCCCCCUGGUUGGAUACUGACGCUGAGACGCGAAAGCGUGGGGAGCAAACAGG